AUCCUUUUGUAGUUCAUAAGCAUGAUGAUACGGUGUUCACACUGUUGUAUGACAUGUACCUCACUCAAACCUUGUUACAACCUCUGCACAUUACCCGUCCGAUG